ACAUAUUACUAUAUAGAAUUCAUAUGUCAUCGAUAACUUUUACAUUAUUUUUUACAAUCCGCCUUACUUAAACGCGCCUUAUCUAAUAGAUAUAUAAAUGUAUCUCUAUUUAU
rnacentral:sRNA from 1 species